rnacentral:lncRNA from 1 species
AAAUAAUCACACACACAACACACACACACGCGCGCGCGCGCGCACACACACACACACACACACGCAUGCUCACUCAUGCACAUACACACGAAUACACACACACACACAGUGCAUUCCUUGUGUGGUAUAAUUUGAAGGGAAGGCCUUAGUAUAUUACUGGUAUUUAUGAUACCGACCCGAGAAAGCAGGGAAUCUUUCAACUGCGAGUUGAGACAGGUAAAUACAGCAAUGUAGUUCGGUGCUCCACCUUUGCUGCUUUACACCCACCGUGGGGCAGGGUUGGGGAGGCAUAUGACUGGAUGGCCCCGGAAGGUGAAUAACUAGGGAGACGGAUUUCAACGUGAAGUCUUUCCUCUUGGCUUACAACCCGCGGAGAUUACAACGACAAAAACUUGUGUAGAAUGAGAUUGGCGGGUCAAACUGACCUAAGUUUAGACACCACCACCACCACCACCACCGCCGCCGCCACCAGCACUUCCACCAUCACCAUCACCAACACUACCAGCAGCAGUGAUCUGUGAAUCAUAGGGCCAGUGGAUCAAACUGACCAGGGGACACACCACACCAGCACCAUCGACAGCAUCAAAGAAGAGGGCCCUGUCGUUUUUGUCACCACACGCCAUGAAAGAACAAAUAGCCUAGAGGGCGCAGCGUCUGACUAUUAUCGGAGAGGUAAAACAGUUCAAGUGGUGUAACGGAGAGUACGUUCUGUCAGGAGCGAGAACACUUAAUUUCACAAACGGCUGAGUCUGCCUAGCUGUAAAUUUAUGUAACGUAAACCACCCUGCAGUCCAACCACUUACUUUAAGUGGCGGUAGCAGUAUAAACUUAACGAGUGUUUCUUUAUAUUCUUCAGGAGGAUAUCCCUGAGUAUGAGAAAUACUAAACGCGACACCAGCUUCUUCACAUCCGAGUAUUCCUUAGCAUCACACUCAAUAACCCUCCACUGUCACCUACCUCACCGCAACAUCCCCCACCACUACCACCUCACACCCACCACUGCCACCCCACCACCUCCAUCCCACACAACCCCUACCGCGAAAUGCACCACCACCACCACCACCGCCACCACCGCCGACGCCUCAAAACCUCUCACCACAGCCAUCGCCACCGCGCCGCCUUCCCGUCGCCACCACUACCUGAGGAGGCUAUCACUGCCUUAUUACCAUCCAGUAUAUUACUGGUACUUCAAGGCGGCAAAGCUGGCAGAAUAGCUAAGCACACCAGGCAGAAUGCUUAACGGCAUCUCCGUCGUCUUCACGUUCUGGGUUCAAAUUGUGUCAAAUCCAUCUUUAACUUCCAUCCUUUCGGAAUCGAUAAAAUGUGUACCAGUUGAACACUGGGGUUAGUGUAAUCGACUUACCUCCUCCCCCGAAAUUGCUGGCCUUGUGCCAAUAUCUGAAACCAAUAUAUUACUGGUACUUGUAUAAAAUUAUUUAGUCUCGGGAAGUGAUGCCAUCGACUUGGAUUUGAACACGGAAUCUAGACGACACCGAAUUUAGCAGAAGGUAAAACUAUCUAUGAUACUCUCUUUCUUUUUCUGUAUAUCUGAUAUUCUAUCUAUCUAUCUAUCUAUCUAUCUAUCUAUCUAUCUAUCUAUCUAUCUAUCUAUCUAUCUAUCUAUCUAUCUAUCCAUUCACCCACCUAUCCUUCCAUCCAUCUAUAUAUAUAUAUAUUGUAUAUUCAGAUAAAUAGAAAUAGAUAGAACUUAAGUUAGAAAUGCGCACACGCACACACACACACACACACACACACAUUCUUCGUCUGUCCAUAUUCAACUCGUGUGUGUAUGUGCGUGUGCGUGCGUGCGUGAGCGUCCAUUCAUAUAUAUAUAUAUAUAUAUAUAUAUAUAUAUAUAUACUCACAUUCCCACACACGGGCUUUCUCGUACAGUAAAAAUGUGCAGCGAAAUACAAGAAUGCCUAUAUCAUUCACACACACGCACACGCACAGACACACAGACACACAGACACACACAUGCACGGACACACAGACACACACACAAGCGUACACAUGCACCCACACCACAUGUCGCUGGCGCGUGCUCAUUUGCGUUUUAGCAUUUUCGCUGACGCGUUUAUUACUGCGGCGCAUAUCUGUGUACGUGUGCACUCACUAGCAAUAUACACACACGCGGACACACACACAAAUAGAUAUGUGUCUGUCUGUGUGUGUGUACGUACAUACGUGUAUGUGAACGUGUGUUUGUGUAUAAAGGUGUGAUACACACACUGUUAGUGGAGAAGUAAAUCGGAAUAUUAUUGUAGACGAGUUUUCCUUUAAGAAUCGCUUAUCGCCUGCAUUUAGAGAGAAAGAGAGAGAGAGAGAGGGAAGAAUGAAAGAGAAAGAGAGAGAGAGAAGCGAAUAGAGAAAGAGUGGGGAGAGAAGGAAAGAGAAAAAGAAAGAGUAAUGAAGAAAAAAAGAAAGUAUAGAGAAAGAUGGAGAGAGCGAGAAAGAGAGAGAGAGAGAGAGAGAUAGGGAGGAUAGAAAAUGUGUAUGUGCGUGCAUGUGCGUACGUGUGUGUGUGUGUGGCGAGCGAUUGUUAAUUGAUUUCGCUUUGGCAGGGACUUUUUUCUAUUUCCUUUCUUCUUCUUCUUCUUCAUCUUUUCUUCUUCUUCUUCUUCUUCUUCUUCUUCUUCUUCCUUCUUCUUCUUCCUCUUCUUCUUCUUCUUCUUCUUCUUCUUCUUCUUCUUCUCUUUGUGGUGGUGAACUGACAUAGAAUUUCAAUAAUUGUGACCUACUGAAGAAGAAGAAGAAGAAGAAGAAGAAGAAGAAGAAGAAGAAGAAGAAGAAGAAGAAGAAGAAGAAGAGGAGGAGGAGAAGAAGAAGGAGAAGAAGAAGAAGAAGAAGAAGAAGGAGAAGAAGGAGAAGAAGAAGAAGAAGAAGAAGAAAGAAGAAGAAGAAGAAGAAGAAGGAGAAGAAGAAGAAGAAGGAGAAGAAGAAGAAGGAGAAGAAGAAGAAGAAUAACAAAGAAGAAGAAGAAGAAGAAGAAAGAAGAAGAAGAAGAAGGAGAAGAAGAAGAAGAAGAAGAAGAAGAAGAAAGAAGAAGACGAAGAAGAAGAAGAAGAAGAAGAAGAAGAAGACGAAGAAGAAGGAGGAGGAAAAAAGAAGGAUGAGUAGGAUGAGGAUGAUGAGGCUGAGGAGGCUGAGGAGGAGAGGAAACGAAGGAAAACAAGAAAGAGAAGAGAAAACAGGAAAAGGAGGAGAAGGAGGUCGAGAAAAGAUGAAGAAGAAGGAGCCAAGCUACAUUAACGAGUUCCCUUUUGUUAUUCAAUCAAACUCUUUCCUAUAUUCACACUUCGUACUUCUAGUGUGUUGUAGAUGCUGCUGGUGUUGUUGUUAAUGCUAGGUCAGCCCUGAUCAGGCCGAAUAAUGAUCAAAUAUAUUCCAACCGUGACAACAACGCCUCCUGCUCGGACACAGUGCCUCGCGAAUCUCGUUGCGUCAUGUGACUAUCGUAUUUUUUUUUUAAUGUGUUUAAGUAGUGUGUGUGUGAUUGUAAUGCACUCACCCGAAGAUUUGGCUGCUCUUUCUAGCAAGUUAAUGCGACCACAUAUAGACACCCGCAUCGUUGCCGGUGUUUUGCCCUUGACAAACCUUGAUUGAAAAACUCAAUGAUCAAACGCAUCCCGGUCAUGACCUUCCCCUCUUGUAUGUAUAAGGAAGCCUUCGGCCAGGUGGUCCAGCGUAUCCCUUUUCUGAAUGCAGAGCGUAAUCUUACAGUACUUUCGCUGCUAUUUCUAACAUUGUUAGCGUCCACAUAGAGGCAUCCUCGUUGAUGUCUUUGGUGGUGGGGUUUGCUUGAUUUCCCGAAUUCGUCAACGAACUUUUGAUUUACCCAAAAGCAGGUAUUCACUGUAAAUAAAUUAUUAAUGAAUACACAGGUGAAAAACCGAUCAAGAUCAUCGAUAAAUGGCUUUCACUUAAGAUCAAUGAAGUUUAUAGAUAAAUUCCAUCAUAGGAUUAAUACAUUCAUAGUUCAUUCCAGAGUGUUUUGGGGGUAAUUUCAAAUGUCAUGUCAGGCAGGUUUUUAUUUAAUUAUUGUAUUUUAAGCCGUUCCAAGCCGAACUGUACAUAGCUGUCUGUCUAAGUCCACAAUGUUUGUUUUCUGUGGUUAAUUUUUGUGUCAUUCUAAAUGAGAAGAGAUUAGUUGUUCAUCGCUCGACUCGUCUUUGUUUCUUAGAGAGAGGAAAUCCAGUGAAUGGUUGCCCCAAAUCAACGAACCUCUUAAAAUGCAGCAUAGGCGAUUCGCAGAAAGCAGACGAACAGACAAGCAGGCAGGCAGGCAGGCAGGCAGAUAGACGGCUAGAUAAAUAGACAAACAGAUUGAUAGACAGAGAUAUAUAGAUAGAUAUACAAACAGACAGAUAGACAGGCAGGCAGAGAGACGGAUAGAUAGAUAAAUAGACAAACAGAUAGAUAGAUAGAUAGAGAGAUAGAGAAAGAGAGAGGAGGGAGAAAGAGAAAGAGAGAAGGGAACGAAGGAUCACGUACAAGACUUGAUUGGUACGUUAUUUGAUCAGCCACAGAAGUAUAUGAAAGGCUGUGUACACCUCGUGGUUUGAACUCAUAGAUCAAGCAGUCGGAAUAAUUACUGCCAGGUCAUAUCUAACUCCCGAAAAAAUUCCACAAAGGAAACAUCCCUUUAUAACGCAAAGUAUACCUUAUACGUGGUACCUGUUUGUACACAACGAGGCUAUCCUUGCAUUGCAAUCAUAUUCUAUGGGUACUAAUUAAAUUUCUGAUUGUCUAUGCAGGUUUCUGAAGUUUUUAGUCAAUUUUAACCAUCACAAUUAAGUAAUCCUGUGAUGGUUACAAUCACCAGCGUGGCUGUGUGGUAAGAAGUUUGCUUCCUGAUCACAUGGUUCUGGGUUCAGUUUCACUGUAUAGAACCUUGGGCAGGUGUCUUCUACUGUAGCCUCGGGUUGAACCAAACCUUGUGAGUGGAUUUGGCAGACGGAAACUAAAAGAAGCCCGUUAUAUAUACUCGCUUAAAAAUUCUUCAUGGCGAUGUCCCAUAACGUAAGAGCCCGCCCCCUCUCUCUCAGAAUCCGCUGAUUGAUACCCAGUUAGCAUAAUUCAAAUCACGUAGCACGAUUAAAAAGGGAGUGUUGGUAGAAAGAUUAAUAGCAGACACUCAUUAAGGAUGUGAAGGUGAGUGGCUUAGCGGCCCACGAUCGUAAAGACAUGAGUUCGAUUCCCGGCGGUGCGUUGUGCCUCUUGAGCAAGGCAAUUUAUUUCGCGUUGCUCCAGUCCACUCAACUGGCAAAAAAUGAAUAGUACCUGUUAUUUAAAAGGGCCAGCCUUGUCACAUUCUGUAGCGGGCUGAAUCUCCCUGAGAUUAAAGGUAUUUGUUCCUGUGGAAUAUCAGCCACUUGCCCUUAAUUUUACGAGCAAGAGACCGAUAGAAUAAGUACUAGGUCUAAGAAGAUAAGUCAUGGGAAUCGAUUCAUUCGACUAAAACCCAUUCAAGCGGUGCUCCAGCAUGGCCACAGUCAAAUGACUAAAGCAAGUAAAAGAAUAAAUGAAUAUAUAUGUGUGUGUCUGUGUGUGUUCCCCACCACCGCUUGACAAGCGGUUCGGCAAAAGAAACUGAUAGAAUAAGUUCUAGGCUUUAAAAAGUCCUGGAGUCAAUUUAUUCAAAGCGGUGCCCCAGCAUGGGUGCAGUCAAAUGGUGGAAACAUGUAAAAGUAUAAAACACCUUUCCGAAAAUAAUAGGCGAUUUCAGAAACAUAAUUUUAUUCUGGUAAAAUUGGUAAUAGAAAUAUUUUGAUUAGUCAAAGUAUGAGCCGUGAAUAUCUUUGCAUCUCUGCCAUCAAUCAACGAGAUUAUUUAUUCCUCGUUGAUAAAAACUUAUUGGUUUUGAUGCUAAGAAAUUUUUGAAAGCUGAUUCCACCUCUGGUUUGGACCAGAACGUUUUAUCACUUAAAACGUGUUUAAAUGCUUUAAAAAAAUGGUAGUCAGUAGGUGAAAGAUCAGGAGAAUAUUGAGGAUGAGAUAAAGUCUCGUAUCCCUAGUCUGAGUUUCUGUAGCGUCAUUCAUGCAACAUGUGGCUUGCAUUAUCGUGGAGAAAAAUUGGGCCACGCCGAUUCACCAAAGCAGGUCUUAUUUUUUGCAAGUGAUUAUGCAUUUCAGCGAAUUGAUUGUAGUAAACCUCUGCUGUAAUGCUCUGAUUGGCUUCAAGAAACCUGUAAUGGACAAUACCAAUUGCAGACCACCAGACAGUCACCAUAAUCUUUUGCUGAAACAACUUUCGCUUUGGGAAAUGUUUGGGACACUCAUCACAAUCAAGCCAUUGACCUGAUAAUUUAUGGUUAUCAUAAAGGAUCCACUUUUCAUCACAAGUGACUAUUCGGUCAAGAAAAGGAGCAUUGGUGUUUCCCAGUAAGAAUAUCGAGCAUAUGCCGAACAUUUUGAUUUUCAUUGAGCUCAUGCGGUACCCAUUUAUCAAGCUUAUUCACCUUACCACUCUUCUGCAAUACCGACACCAAGUGCAUGAGACAUUUCUCUGACACUUUGACGUAGGUUUUGUCCAACAAUUGCUUUCAACUGUUCAUUUUCAAGACUGCAUGUCUGUUCUCUAACUUCUUCAUCUUCAAGGCUCUCAUCAUCACUACGGAAUUUCUGAAGCCACCUUCGUACUGUGCGAUCACUAGUGAAUCCCUCUCCUCAUGCUCUGUUGAUAUUGGCAGCAGUUUGGGAGGUAUUGUGCCCAAGCUUGAACUCACGCAAGAAAAGGAAGCGAAGGUCAUUUUUUUUGUCAUUUUCAUAAUUAAGGGCGCCUAUGCUUCAAGAAUGUUUUCUACCUGAAAUAAUUAAAAAAUUAUUGAAGAGCAUACAUCAAUUAUUAAGUAUGUCGAAAUCCACCUAAAAUAUAAUUAAAAUACUAAGACAAAAUUGCGUUUCAAAACUCAACACUUAGAGCGGCCAUUAUUUUCGAAACAAUCUAAUAUAUAUAGGCUAUAUUAAAACUCUGAGCGCUAUAUUUAGUUGGCAAACAUAUUCUAAUAUACAUACAUACAUACACAACCAGACACACACACAUACACACACACGCACAUAUAUUAGCGACACAAGCAGUAUUAAACAAGCGUGCAUUUGGGUACCGAAAGGCAAUAUGAAGGUUUCUCUCAUCGUAUCUAUUGCAGUAAAAUUUGUUCUAACAGAACUUCCAAGUUGAAGUGAGGUUAAAUAUUUAUGCAUUGUCAUAGACUGGCGAUUCGAUUCGUUCCCGGUUCGAUUCAGGCACGUGAUGUCGUUAAGCCACAAAACUUGACGAAAUAUAUUGGUAUCCAUCAUUCCUGAAUUCGUUCGAGGCACGUUGUUCCGUCUGUCUAUGUCUUUCAUGCGAUUUAACACUCAGCUUUAUAACACCCAGUUAUCCCUCAAGCGCUAUACCGCAGCUAACCGGCGAACAAAAGAAAAAAACACAUAUUUUGAGUAUGUGGAGACGAUAAUGUUUUACAAUAUUAACGCUGCUUUUAAUUCGUUAUUGAAUAUAUAUAUAUAUAUAUAUAUACACACAUACAUACACACAGCUACUAUGCCAGUGAUCACGUGGUGGCAAUCAACGAAACAUCUGACAUCUCAAGAAAUAUAUUAGAAAUAAAUGUAAUUGCUUCUUUGUGAAUAUUUAAUGGUUAAAAUGACUUUUACAAGAUAUAAGUGCUACAGUUCCAUGUCCAGAAUAUCUAUCUAUCUAUCUAUCUAUCUAUCUAUCUAUCUAUCUAUCUAUCUAUCUAUCUAUCUAUCUAUCUAUCUAUCUAUCUAUCUAUCUAUCUAUCUAUCUAUCUAUCUGUCUGUCUCUCUGUUUGUUUGUCUAUUGUUGCUAAAUAACACCUGUCUUAGUAUUAAAAUACAUUCCACCAUCACAGUUAUUACAACUAUUGUUGGAAGGUUCCAGCAAGACAAUCAUUUCUCUAGAGACUUCCACUUGGCGUUGGCUGUUUUUGGAAGUUAAGUUCUGGUUUCUUUGGGGGUGAUCCGUUUCCGCUACCUGCCAAGUAAAAUGUUUCCAAAUAUUUUAAUCAAUAAUCAAUACUAAAUAGAUAUAAUUUUAUAUAUUCUCAAAAAAAAAUCUGUUAAUUAGAAACGAAAUGAGGAGAGCUUAGUCGUUGGAGGUGUGAAAGAAAUGAAUUAAAUUCUACAUUUUGGUAAUUCCAAUUCUAAUGAAAUUUCAUCUCAGGAUCAAAUCUUCUCGUUUAUCAUCAGAACUUUUAAUUGGAACAGUCAAGAUUGUGUUAAGUUGGAAAAUAUUCAUUAUUAAUAAUGUAUUGGAAGAUUUUAAUUACGUAAGUUUUGGACAAAUAUUCUGGUUCUUAGAUUCUUCAACAGAAUCUUGGCAAAUCGCAGUUUUGACGAUAACUUAGCAGCACCAGUGGUAGCAGCAGCAGUAGCAGCAGCAGCAGUAGUAUGUAGUUGUUGCUGACACUACAUUAUGCUCAUCAUUGUUGUUUUUGAUUUGAUCCAAGUGACAUCUAUAAUCAAUGAGCUUCCAUUCGUGACUAUCCCAUAUUAUUGGAUAGAUGACCUAAUGUGUCAUCUUAAAGGCAACACUGUGUGAUUAAAGAGAGAUUUGGUUGUUAUUUCUUGCAAGUCGAGUGACAUGAAGGUCAUCGUUUGUACAUUAAUGGUGAUGAUGAUGGUGGUGGUGGUGGUGAAGGGAAUAACAUUGAUAUUGAGGAAGUUGAUGAUGAUGAUGAGGAUGACGACCACAACCGAUGAUAAUGCUGUUGAUAUAGUUGUUGUUGUUGAUGAUGAUGAUGAUGAUGAUAUUGAUGAUGGUGGUGAUAUUCGUCGUGCUGUUGAUGACGAAGAUAGUGAUAUCGUUGUUGAUGAUACUACAGCUGUAGCCUCUACUGUUGCUGCUGCUGCUGAUGAUGCUGAUGAUGCUGAUGAUGUGCAUGUUCUUAUAUAUUUCAGAAUACAAAGUAGAAACAGAGGAGCGCCGUACUAAAUUAUUUCAUUUCUCCGAUUCACUUUUAAAUGUUGACGCAGUGAAAUUAACCACUGACUGCAGCAGGGGCUGUCAAAUAAGUAUUGCUGAAUGGGUUAUCUUCCUUACUAGCACAAUAUCAAUCAAUCACUAUGCUAAUCAAUCAACGGAAAUCAAUAUCGAUUCGAUACAAGGACACUGGACACAAUGUCUUAUAGGAUUCAGCUUCUGUCUUAUAAUCCUGGGAUCCUGAGGAACACAAUAUCAAACAUGUCCUUGUUUUCAAAGACGGUUGGGGUGAUUUUAGGUAGGAUUGGUUGCUGCUGUGUCUAGCAGGUCGUGCGACCUCAUAGAGGUUCUCUCGUUGGUUUCAGUUGUAGCCGUAGUAAUAGUAGUUGUAGUAGUUGUUUGUGGUGGUGGUAGUGUUUAGACUUAGCUAAUAUUUUUAACAAAGCAGAGCAGCUGUAUAAAGGCUACCCACCCCGUGGACUCAUGAAUAUUUCAUUGUCAAUAAUAAUUCCUUCCAGCAAAAACUGACCGAACGACUUCUCUAUUUAACCCAAUAAUAAAUUAGUAGCGAGAAGACUGAAGAAUUUGAGCCAAGAUAUUGUAAGAAAUAGAAUAAAUUUAGAUAUUAUUGAGCCUCACUGAAGGUUAAAUAAUAAUGUAAACAGAAAUGAAUUUGUAUGAUAUUGAUGUGCGAAAAAGAAAUAGAGCAAUGAAGUCUCCUAACGGAUAAUUUCACUGUUUGUUGACCGCUCCUCAGAGAAAAUACAUAGGGCCUAUUUCUGCAAUCAUCACUAUAGAUCAGCUGCUAUAUGAAGCGGCCAUAAAUUCGGCGAGAACCAUGGUAGAAAAACCUAUUUUCAUAACUAAAUAUUUGAAGGUUUUUUUCCAUAAUGAUACACUAUUAGUUUAUGUACAACACAGCGUUAAGAGAUAUUGUUUAAAUAAUUAUAUUUACACUGAAAGGGAAGGGAGACAAUCUGGGAAUACAAAACAAUAAGGAUAAAAUUGAAUGAAGUAAGGGAAAGAGGUGGAAAGUCUAAUAUUUCGAUGAGGAAC